ACCCGCUGGACUUAAGCAUAUCACUAAGCGGAGGAAAAGAAACUAACUAGGAUUCCCCCAGUAACUGCGAGUGAAGAGGGAAGAGCUCAUCAUUGGAAUCUGGCAGUGUUGCACUGUCCGAGUUGUAGAUGAGGAGUAGUCCGUCUGGACUGCAUGGCGUCCAAGUACAAUAGGCCGUCAGUGGGACAUCAUAGAGGGUGACAAUCCCGUCCUUGACGCCAAUGUGCAAGUCUAUUACGAUGGCUAUCUCAGAGAGUCGAGCAGUUUGGGAUUUGCUGCUUAAACAUGGGAGGUAGAUUCCUUCUAAAGCUAAAUACAGGCGAGAGACCGAUAGAGAACAAGUACCGCAAGGGAAAGAUGAAAUAGCACUCUGUGAAGGGAGUCAAAAGGCGUGAAAUUGUUGCGAGAGAAGCGAUUCAAGUCAGCGUAGCUAGGCCCAUCAAGCGUCUUCGCUUUGGACUAGCUUUGCCAGCGGUCUUGUCCCUUGAAGAGACUUGACUUGUAAUAUGUCCAGCCUGGCGUGCACAGGCAGCCCCUUCUGGGGGCCAGUGGCAUGGCUGGUGGAAUGGCUUGCAAUCGACCCGUCUUGAAACACGGACCAAGGAGUCUAACAUGUAUGCGAGUAUAAGGGUGGCAAACCCGUAUGCGCAAUGAAAGUGAUUUUCGGUGAUUGAGAAUGGCCUGAUGACCAGACAAGCAAUAUAUGUCCCUCGUACGGCCAUUGCCCAAGUUCCGUGGUAGAUCCCACGAACAUGGAGUUGGAGCAUACAUGCUAGGACCCGAAAGAUGGUGAACUAUGCCUGGACAAAGCGAAGCCAAAGGAAACUCUGGUGGAGGCUUGUAGCGAUUCUGACGUGCAAAUCGAUCGUCUGAUCUGGGUAUAGGGGCGAAAGACUAAUCGAACC
rnacentral:rRNA from 1 species